CUACGUGCCAGCAGCCGCGGUAAUACGGAAGGUCCAGGCGUUAUCCGGACUUAUUGGGUUUAAAGGGAGCGUAGGCGGAUUGUUAAGUCAGCGGUUAAAGGGUGUGGCUCAACCAUGCAUUGCCGUUGGAACUGGCGAUCUUGAGUGCAGACAGGGAUGCCGGAAUUCGUGGUGUAGCGGUGAAAUGCUUAGAUAUCACGAAGAACUCCGAUCGCGAAGGCAGGUGUCCGGGCUGCAACUGACGCUGAGGCUCGAAAGUGUGGGUAUCAAACAGGAUUAGAUACCCUGGUAGUCCACACAGUAAACGAUGUAUACUCGCGGUUUGCGAUAGACAGUAAGCCGCCAAGCGAAAGCAUUAAGUAUACCACCUGGGGAGUACGCCGGCAACGGUGAAACUCAAAGGAAUUGACGGGGGCCCGCACAAGCGGAGGAACAUGUGGUUUAAUUCGAUGAUACGCGAGGAACCUUACCCGGGCUUGAA
rnacentral:rRNA from 1 species